rnacentral:tRNA from 1 species
GGAGGGAUGGCUGAGCGGUUGAUGGCACCGGUCUUGAAAACCGGCAUAGGUGAAAGCCUAUCGGGGGUUCGAAUCCCUCUCCCUCCGCCA